rnacentral:rRNA from 1 species
AGGAGGCGUCGAGCGGCGGACGGGUGAGUAAUGCAUAGGAAUCUGCCCGGUAGUGGGGGAUAACCUGGGGAAACUCAGGCUAAUACCGCAUACGUCCUACGGGAGAAAGCAGGGGCUCUUCGGACCUUGCGCUAUCGGAUGAGCCUAUGUCGGAUUAGCUGGUUGGUGAGGUAACGGCUCACCAAGGCGACGAUCCGUAGCUGGUCUGAGAGGAUGAUCAGCCACAUCGGGACUGAGACACGGCCCGAACUCCUACGGGAGGCAGCAGUGGGGAAUAUUGGACAAUGGGCGCAAGCCUGAUCCAGCCAUGCCGCGUGUGUGAAGAAGGCCCUCGGGUUGUAAAGCACUUUCAGUGGGGAAGAAAUCCUCGGGGCUAAUACCCUCGAGGGAGGACAUCACCCACAGAAGAAGCACCGGCUAACUCCGUGCCAGCAGCCGCGGUAAUACGGAGGGUGCGAGCGUUAAUCGGAAUUACUGGGCGUAAAGCGCGCGUAGGCGGCGUGAUAAGCCGGUUGUGAAAGCCCCGGGCUCAACCUGGGAACGGCAUCCGGAACUGUCAGGCUAGAGUGCAGGAGAGGAAGGUAGAAUUCCCGGUGUAGCGGUGAAAUGCGUAGAGAUCGGGAGGAAUACCAGUGGCGAAGGCGGCCUUCUGGACUGACACUGACGCUGAGGUGCGAAAGCGUGGGUAGCAAACAGGAUUAGAUACCCUGGUAGUCCACGCCGUAAACGAUGUCGACUAGCCGUUGGGGUCCUUGAGACCUUUGUGGCGCAGUUAACGCGAUAAGUCGACCGCCUGGGGAGUACGGCCGCAAGGUUAAAACUCAAAUGAAUUGACGGGGGCCCGCACAAGCGGUGGAGCAUGUGGUUUAAUUCGAUGCAACGCGAAGAACCUUACCUACUCUUGACAUCGUGCGAACUUGGUAGAGAUACCUUGGUGCCUUCGGGAACGCACAGACAGGUGCUGCAUGGCCGUCGUCAGCUCGUGUUGUGAAAUGUUGGGUUAAGUCCCGUAACGAGCGCAACCCUUGUCCCUAUUUGCCAGCGAUUCGGUCGGGAACUCUAGGGAGACUGCCGGUGACAAACCGGAGGAAGGUGGGGACGACGUCAGGUCAUCAUGGCCCUUACGAGUAGGGCUACACACGUGCUACAAUGGCCGGUACAAAGGGUUGCGAAGCCGCGAGGUGGAGCCAAUCCCGAAAAGCCGGUCUCAGUCCGGAUCGGAGUCUGCAACUCGACUCCGUGAAGUCGGAAUCGCUAGUAAUCGUGAAUCAGAAUGUCACGGUGAAUACGUUCCCGGGCCUUGUACACACCGCCCGUCACACCAUGGGAG